ACCGAACUGAGGUCGACAUUAUAGAGAGUCUACUCCAACUAGGGGUGCAAAUGGAUCAGGUUGGAUCGGAUCAUGAGUGACUCCCAUCCGAUCUAAUAUUUUAAUCGGAUCUCGAUAUUGGAUCCAGAUCUAGCCCUAUAAAUAAUUGGAUUGGAUCUGUGAUCAUUUUUUUCAUCCAACAGGUCAGUCAAAUCGAGUCGAUCCAUGUAUAACCUAGCCC
rnacentral:lncRNA from 1 species